ensembl:lncRNA
GGUAAACCUAUAAUGGCCUGUCUGAAGAGCAGUCCAAACCUUCAGGUGCUCAAUGCUAACUGGUGGUGGAUCCAAUGUCUUCAACAUUGAAGUCGAAGGCAACAUUGGAGAAGUUAAAUGACUGCUUGACAAUAUUGAUACAGUAUCAUACCAGAACUGGGGAUACCACUUCAUGGAAGAGGCAGAAAGAUGAGAGCUGAAGAGCAACGGAGGAGAGAAGAGGGAGAAGGAUCAGAGCUGAAGAGCAACAGAGGAGAGAAGAGGCAGAAAGAUCAGAGCUGAAGAGCAACAGAGGAGAGAAGAGGCAGAGAGAUCAGAGCUGAAGAGCAACAGAGGAGAGAAGAGGCAGAGAGAUCAGAGCUGAAGAGCAACGGAGGAGAGAAGAGGCAG